rnacentral:lncRNA from 1 species
UAACUACUCAAGAUCUACAUAUAUUUUGAGUUGGUUUGCUGUUUUGUCCUUUCAUUAUCUAUACACAUUUUGAAAGGAUGGAGCUUAUUUGAAGUGAGAAAAAAGAGUGAUGAUAGUAUGUCUGGUUUUUAUCAUCAUUAACUGUUUUGAUAGUUAUUAUUUUAUCUUUAAUUUUUUUUUGGCGGCCUUGCAGGCUUGGCGGAUGUUUGCCAAAAAAUUUGGUUAUAUAUCUAUGUUUAUGUAUUUUCAUUUGUGUAUUUAAUUAUUUAUGAUAUAUUGUAUUUUGUAAUAUAUUGAAAAAAUAUUUAUAUCAGGCAAUACAAAUUAUACCUAUUGACUUCCUUUUAUUUCACCCACUUGAUAAUUGGUUU